rnacentral:rRNA from 1 species
GAUGAACGCUGGCGGCGUGCCUAAUACAUGCAAGUCGAGCGAAUGGAUUAAGAGCUUGCUCUUAUGAAGUUAGCGGCGGACGGGUGAGUAACACGUGGGUAACCUGCCUAUAAGACUGGGAUAACUCCGGGAAACCGGGGCUAAUACCGGAUAACAUUUUGAACCGCAGGGUUCGAAAUUGAAAGGCGGGUUCGGCUGUGACUUCUGGAUGGACCCGCGUCUCAUUAGCUAGUUGGUGAGGUAACGGCUCACCAAGGCAACGAUGCGUAGCCGACCUGAUAGGGUGAUCGGCCACACUGUGACUGAGACACGGCCCAGACUCGUACGGGAGGCAUCAGUAGGGAAUCUUCCGCGAUGGACGAAAGGCUGACGGAGCAACGCCGCGUGAGUGAUGAAGGCUUUCGGGUCGUAAAACUCUGUUGUUAGGGAAGAACAAGUGCUAGUUGAAUAAGCUAGCACCUUGACGGUACCUAACCAGAAAGCCACGGCUAACUACGUGCCAGCCGCCGCGGUAA